rnacentral:lncRNA from 1 species
AAUUUUAUAAUUUUGUGAAGUUACUGACGCAGUAAUAUAUUCUGGGAGACCGGCAGAGUGAUUCUAAUAAUACCAACCACUUGAUUAUCAGCUUUUUUGUCAUUAGAUGUAACCUUUUGACCAUUUCUGCCUCUUGAAUCAUACUAAUCCAUAACCACCACUAAAUUCGUGUGGCCGGCUAUCAUUCUAAUUCUACAAUUCCUUUUAGAGAUGUCAACGAGUCGGAUUCGGGACAAAUUUUUAAAAACCCGAACCCGAACCCAACUCUAAACCCGAGACCCGAAUCCGAACCCGAACCCGACGGAUUUUAAAAAUUCAUAUCCAAACCCGAACCCGACCAAAAAUCCGAAACCCGAAUCCGAACCCAAACCCGAAUCCGAAAAUUUGAACCCGAAACAGUUAUUUCUUUUUUCAAUAUUUCAAAAUAUAUUAUAUUAAAUCUAAAUUUUUAAAAUAUAAAUUCAAAUAUAACACCAAAUAUAUAUAUAUAUUAUAUAUAAAUAAAUUCAGGUUCGAGUCGGGUUCGGGUUUGGGUCGGGUACAAUCAAAAUCCAUAUCUGAAUCCAUAUUCGUCGGGUUUCUAUUUUUUAUAUCCAUAUCCGAAUCCAUAUUCAUAUCCAUCGAAUAUAUCCGUUUCAUUCGGGCUCAGGUUCAGAUAAAAUUUCGGGUAUCCAUACGUAUUGACAUUCAUAAUCCCUUUAUCCUAAACCUAAAAACAAACAAACACAAAUGACUUGCAGACUUGGUGCUAUUAGAAGUAUUUC